ensembl:rRNA 5S_rRNA 5S ribosomal RNA
GUCUAAGGCCAUAGCAACCUGAACGCGCGCGAUCUCAUCUGGUCUCGGAAGCUAAGCAGGGUCGGGCCUGCUUAGUACUCGCAUGGGAGACCGCCUGCGAACACCGGGUGCUGUAGGCU